GCUUACGGCCACACCGCCUGGUUCACGUUUGAUCUCGGAAGCUAAGAUAGGUUGGGCCUGGUUAGUACUUGGAUGGGAGACCGCCUCGGGAAUACCAGGUGCUGUAAGCU
rnacentral:rRNA from 1 species